GGAGUGCUGAUUUUAUUAAUUUAAUGAUUUGUUGUUGCUCCACAAGGUAUGUUCACAAGAACGUGCACACAUAUUUUACAUAUUUUACUAUUGACAUUAAUGAUCAGAUAAUAUUCACAAAACAUACAUCCACACAAUACAUCCAGUAUUUAAAUUACUGCUUUUUCUUUCAGUCAAGAAAAUAAAAGAUAGAUAAAGAAUCAAAACUAACUACGAUGAAAUACUACUCUUUUGCUUGAAUAGAAUAAAAAUGCUUACAUAAUUAGAAAUUACUUGAAUAAUUUAACAGAUGGAACUAUAAAGAUGGAACUACCUUUAAGAAAAUAUUGCUAUUGCACACUAAAGAGGCCUCGCUGACAUUUGUGCAUUUGAUCAGAAUCAGGUUUAUUGCCAAUUAAGUUUUUACUGUAACCCUUUAAGGUCCUGUCUAUAAUGGAUUAUUAUAAUUUAUAAUUUAAGGAUUUAUAAAGCUCUAUAAAUGUUUAUAAUCAUUUAUGACAACUUAUAACAAGGUUUAUAAAGUGAGAAUCAGGUUCAUUGCCAAGUAAGUUUUACAAAUAUGAGGAAUUUCCAUUGGUUCACAAGAAUUACAAAAAAAUCAAGUACUAUAUAAAUAAAGACAGAUAAAGAUAAAGAAAAAGAUGCCUUAGGGUCCUGGAGGGAUGGCAGAUUGCAGCCAAGCACCUUCUCAGCAGAUCAAAUGAUACGCUGCAGUCUGCCCUUGUCCUUGGCAGUGGCAGCAGCGUACCAGAUAGUGAUGGAAGAGGUGAGGAUGGACUCGAUGAUGAUGAUGGCGGUGUAGAAAUGCACCAUCAUCGUCUUUGGCAGGUUGAUCGUCCACAGCUGAAGCAGGAAGUACAUCCUCUGCUGGGCUUUCUUGGUGAGAUUGAGGUCCUGGGUUAUGAUGGUACCCAGGAAGAAGAAGGACUCCACAAGGUCAACUGGGGAGUCGCAUAGGAUGAUGGGAGCUGGGUUCUUCCUGAAGUCCACAACCAUCUCCACUGUUUUUAGAGCGUAAAACUCCUCCUGGGGAGUCCAGAUGCUGGAGGAUGAAGUGCUAUGUUUACUGCAUCAUCUACAGACCUGUUGGCUCUGUAGGGGAACUGCAGUUUGGACCUCGGUGCGGCCUGACCCACCGACGACGCAUGACAAUAGGAUUAUAGCAUGGCGCAAAAGCCUGCUUUUUCCUGCGAUGCCUGCACCAGCGGACAUCGUACAGCAGAGACUCUUUGGACUUCAGAACCCCAAUUCUGAUCAGCCUGGCUCACAGGACUGCUGGCUGACCCACGCAGCUCACCAGCAACUGUUUUUCAUCUCCAUUGGACUGUUGGUAACGUACUGGGAAUAGACAGACAACUUAACAGAGUUAACGGCUAAACAAGGAAUGUUUAAGUAUUGUUAAUGUUGCUGAUGUGUGUUAUUCAGGUUACUGUGGUAUUGUGAUGUUGAUUUAAUUAACUGAGGUUACUGUAGUAACUGUAGUCUUUGAGACAGUGCUAAGGUGAUGUUAGGUUAAUGCUUCACACAGACAUCGUCUUUGAAUACACUAACUACCUUUUUACGGCACGUUUAUCUAAAAAUCACACACACACAUACCCGGUCUAAGCACAUACACAUGGGGUGGGAUUCAAAUCCUCCCGCCUCUCUAUUGCUCUGUCUCUCAACAACACAGUCUUCACACCCUGAAACAUCUGGUCAGAGGACCUUUUAUGACCCCAUGCACACACAGACACACACACACGCAGACACACACAAACACACACACACACACACACACACACACACACACACACACUCCUUUCUCCUUUUAAGUUAGAUUGUAUAUUGUGUAUUUUUCCUCUGUUUUCUUUUAUUAUAUCUGGUUAAUAAAUGUUUGUGUUUACAUA